UACGUAGGUGACAAGCGUUGUCCGGAUUUACUGGGCGUAAAGGGCGUGCAGGCGGUCUGUUAAGUCUAGGGUGAAAGCUCCCGGCUCAACUGGGAGAGGUCCUUGGAUACUGGCGGACUUGAGGGAGGCAGAGGAAAGUGGAAUUCCCGGUGUAGUGGUGAUAUGCGUAGAUAUCGGGAGGAACACCAGUGGCGAAGGCGGCUUUCUGGGCCUUACCUGACGCUGAGACGCGAAAGCGUGGGGAGCGAACCGG
rnacentral:rRNA from 1 species